rfam:Danio rerio chromosome 4, GRCz11 reference primary assembly.
GGUAGCGUGGCCAAGGGGUCUAAGGCGCUGGUUUUAGGCUCCAGUUUCUUUGGGGGUGUGGGUUUGAAUCCCACUGCUGCCA